GCGCAGUUCAGCGCCCACCCCGCCUGCAAAUGAUCUCAGCUUCCCAAGCUGAGAGCGCGAGUUCGAUUCUCGUCACCCGCUCCA
rnacentral:tRNA from 1 species